rnacentral:rRNA from 1 species
UAAGGGAUAUUGCACAAUGGGCGCAAGCCUGAUGCAGCAACGCCGCGUGCCCGAUGAAGGCCUUCGGGUCGUAAAGGGCUUUUCUGGCUGAAGAGCAAGGACAGUAAGCCAGGAAUAAGUGUCGGCUAACUACGUGCCAGCAGCCGCGGUAAAACGUAGGACGCAAGCGUUAUCCGGAGUUACUGGGCGUAAAGCGCGGGCAGGCGGUCGCGCAAGUCGGACGUGAAAUCACCCGGCUCAACCGGGCGAGGCCGUUCGAAACUGAGCGACUGGAGGGCAGUAGAGGCAGGCGGAAUUCCGGGUGGAGUGGUGAAAUGCGUAGAGAUCCGGAGGAACACCAGAGGCGAAGGCGGCCUGCUGGGCUGCACCUGACGCUGAGCCGCGAAAGCCAGGGGAGCGAACGG